UAUCAUGAUUCAUCGUGUUCGAGCUUUGGCUAGUUGUCUUUGGGUAUAUUACAUGCCUACUUAUUAUAGUACUUAACGGUUUACAAUGAGGUUUUUCCGUGUAACAUUUUGUUUGUAAAAUUAAAAUAAUAGUGAAUUCAGCAGGAUUAUUUAUGCAGGCAGCUUUAACUACAAAUUAAGUUAUUGUUCUUAAAUUCUACCGCUUCAAUGAAAUGGUGGAGAAGUUUCCGACCUGUUAAUUUUGUGUAUCGUUACUGGAAUGGUAAAUUACAGCCUGGUUGGAUUGGAUUGUACCUCUAAAGUCAACGAUUAUUUAUUAUCAAUAAGAAAAAAUAUAGCGAACCAAGCCUAACCAACAUCUCCUCGGCAUUUACCAAAUGUUUUGCAAAGAAAACGGUUGGAAUUGGAGGACUUCUUUGCGAAUAAGAAAAUUUUCGAUAACCACAACAUGAAAAAGAUAAGUUGAAAAUUUUAUUUUAAUAUCUAACUAGUUUUUACCAGCGGCUUCGCUUACGUUGUUCUUCCAAAUACGAGUCAAAAAAUCAUCGAAAAUACAAUAAUUUGUUUGUUGACCAGGAUCAUUAGGAUAAAACUAAAGUUUCUAGUUUUCUGGGUUAAACGUACCCUUUGCGUAAAAUGAUGAUGAGUAAAUACUGUCCUUUAUCGACACGAAAAGAUUUUUUCUAUCAAUCUAUUAAUACAUAAUUUAUUUAAAGUACUUUAACAAGUUAAAAGCUCUUUUACACAAGUAAUAUAAAUAUAAUAACAAAUGUGCAUAAGAUACAACUUCAAUUUAACAAUUAACAGGAUUGAACAUGAUUUUUUUUCUUAUAACACACUUAAAUAUACCAAUUUUAUCAAUUGACUUCGACGUAAAUAUAAAGAUGACAGAUUGAAUUUACGUUGAUUGAAAAUUAUUUGGAAAUUUUGUAAUAAAAGCUGCAUGCAAUAGGUUCUGUAUUUAGGUCCAACUGGUAAAUAACUUUAAUGAUUAAAAAAAUAUUUGAAUAUCUUUAAUUAGAUAAAUGGCAUGUUUUGUACCUAUUUACAGGAGUAAUAAAUUGCGUACUUAAAACAAACAGUAAGUACAUAAAUUGAAAAUUUGAAUAACAAAAUUGAAAGUAAUAUUUACAUAAUUUUAUCGUUCGAAUACGUAUAAUGUAUAUGUUUAUUACAAUAUUUCCAAAACAUAUCGUACCUAUGAACAGUGGUGUUGUGCUAAUUUUUUUUUACCGGAACGCGUAUAUAUAAUUAUAUAGACAGGGC